rnacentral:rRNA from 1 species
GACGAACGCUGGCGGCGUGCUUAACACAUGCAAGUCGAACGGAAAGGCCCUGCUUUUGUGGGGUGCUCGAGUGGCGAACGGGUGAGUAACACGUGAGUAACCUGCCCUUGACUUUGGGAUAACUUCAGGAAACUGGGGCUAAUACCGGAUAGGAGCUCCUGCUGCAUGGUGGGGGUUGGAAAGUUUCGGCGGUUGGGGAUGGACUCGCGGCUUAUCAGCUUGUUGGUGGGGUAGUGGCUUACCAAGGCUUUGACGGGUAGCCGGCCUGAGAGGGUGACCGGCCACAUUGGGACUGCGAUACGGACCAGAAUCCUACGGGAGGCAGCAGUGGGGAAUAUUGCACAAUGGGCGGAAGCCUGAUGCAGCAACGCCGCGUGCGGGAUGACGGCCUUCGGGUUGUAAACCGAUUUCGCAUGUGACGAAGCGUGAGUGACGGUAAUGGGUAAAGAAGCACCGGCUAACUACGUG